GAUGUCCUGAACAAAAAUAAAGGAGAGUUGAACAAAGAGACACAGGAGCUGAACAGACUGAACGCAGAGUUGAGUAAAAAGAAAGCAGAGCUGAGCACAAAGACAAAUAAUCUGCACAAAGAGAAAGAGAAGCUGAAACAAUAUAAAGAAGACCUGAGCAAAGAGAAAGCAGACCUAAGCAAAACGAAAGAGGAGCUGAACAAAGAGAAAGAGACGCUAAUAGCAGAGAAAAAGAAGACGGAGAGUCGAUGCAAAGACAAAGAUGCCCUGCAAAUCUUCUAUAAUUUUGUCAUGUCAUUUCAGACCUUUACAGUUGAAAAAUUCUGUCCUCGAGAUAUGAGACCAAAAUGUCUGGAUUGCAGGGUCGGAUGGCUUUCCUUCAGGGGACACUGCUACUGGUUUUCAGAUAGAGGUCAUUCUUGAAUUUCUGGGACGUGUCUCGAGACUUGUGUCAGCAUGAUAGUGGAUAUUUGGCUAUAAUUGAUGAUCUGGAGGAGCAGAAAUUUAUCGUCAAGCAUGCCAAACCCUACGAAUCUCAACACCAAGGAUACUGGAUAGGGUUACAUCAUAAACUCGCCGGAUGGUUCUGGGUUGAUGGACGUAAGAACGCUCUUGACUUCUGGACAAAAGAGGUCCCCCAUUCUUCGGGAGCAGCUCUGCAUAUGCCACAAAGAAAAGCCAAAGAGAGCUGGAGAGCAGAAGACAAGGCAGUGAAGCACAGAUUCAUCUGUGAGCAUCCUAUGACUGUUUGGCCCUACAACUAACACUGUUCUGUUAAAGCUUCAGCGAGGAAUACUCAACUGUGUCAUCAAUUUUUUGACAAAUGUCAUGAAUGAAAGCACAAUGUCUGUAGGUUAAAUCCCACAUUAAAAGAUUCAAUACAGA